UGCUUGCCCCUGUCACCAAAGACCUUGAGCUGCUGGACCUCUCCCCAGAGUGCAGAACAUCUGGCUCUGGACUUGGGUUUUCAUAGAGUGACCCUUUUCUUAGUCCAAAAGAUCCAUACACUUCUGUUCAUAAAUUGCACAGCAUUUCUGGGAGAUGAGGAUGAUAUGGGCAAGCAGGGGGUCACCCCACCCAGCCCCAAGCAGCAGCCACCACCAACAGGAUGUGGCAGAAUGAAAUGUGAUAGCA